rnacentral:rRNA from 1 species
UGUCCAGACUCCUACGGGAGGCAGCAGUGGGGAAUAUUGCGCAAUGGGCGAAAGCCUGACGCAGCGACGCCGCGUGAGUGAAGAAGUCAUUCGUUAUGUAAAUCUCUAUCAGCAGGGAAGAAAAUGACGGUACCUGAGUAAGAAGCCCCGGCUAACUACGUGCCAGCAGCCGCGGUAAUACGUAGGGGGCAAGCGUUAUCCGGAUUUACUGGGUGUAAAGGGAGCGUAGACGGCAGUGCAAGUCUGGAGUGAAAGGCGGGGGCUCAACCCCCGGACUGCUCUGGAAACUGUACGGCUGGAGUGCAGGAGAGGUAAGUGGAAUUCCUAGUGUAGCGGUGAAAUGCGUAGAUAUUAGGAGGAACACCAGUGGCGAAGGCGGCUUACUGGACUGUAACUGACGUUGAGGCUCGAAAGCGUGGGGAGCAAACAGGAUUAGAUACCCGUGUA